GGGCAAUUAGCUCAGCUGGAUAGAGCGCUGGCCUCCGGAGCCAGAGGUCGAGGGUUCGAAUCCCCCAUUGCCCG
rnacentral:tRNA from 1 species